UCCUACGGGUGGCUGCAGUGGGGAAUUUUGGACAAUGGGCGCAAGCCUGAUCCAGCCAUGCCGCGUGCAGGAUGAAGGCCUUCGGGUUGUAAACUGCUUUUGUACGGAACGAAAAGACUCCUUCUAAUAAAGGGGGUUCAUGACGGUACCGUAAGAAUAAGCACCGGCUAACUACGUGCCAGCAGCCGCGGUAAUACGUAGGGUGCGAGCGUUAAUCGGAAUUACUGGGCGUAAAGCGUGCGCAGGCGGUGAUGUAAGACAGAUGUGAAAUCCCCGGGCUCAACCUGGGAACUGCAUUUGUGACUGCAUCGCUGGAGUGCGGCAGAGGGGGAUGGAAUUCCGCGUGUAGCAGUGAAAUGCGUAGAUAUGCGGAGGAACACCGAUGGCGAAGGCAAUCCCCUGGGCCUGCACUGACGCUCAUGCACGAAAGCGUGGGGAGCAAACAGGAUUAGAUACCCGUGUAGUC
rnacentral:rRNA from 1 species